GUCUGUGAUGAAAACUGUGAAUAGGAAGUGCCGUCUGAUGCGACAACUGACGAUGUUCCUCACUGUUCUGAGC